rnacentral:ncRNA from 1 species
UGGUCCCAGCCUUGAAAUCAGUUAUUACUUAAUAUACACAUGCAAGUAUCCGCACCCCUGUGAGAACGCCCUUAAAUCCCCGAUAGGGAUAAGGAGCUGGUAUCAGGCACCCCAUCACCGCCCAAGACACCUAGCUAUGCCACACCCUCAAGGGAAUUCAGCAGUGAUUAACAUUGACAAUAAGCGACAGCUUGACUCAGUUAAAGUAAAAAGAGCCGGCUAAUCUGGUGCCAGCCGCCGCGGUUACACCACGUGGCUCAAACUGACCUCCAUCGGCGUAAAGCGUGAUUAAAGCCUUUUUCCAUUAGAGUAAAAUUAAAACUAAGCUGUGACACGCUUGUUAUUAAGAAAACCAAAAUCGAAAGAUACUCUAAUUUAUUCAACUUGAACUCACGACAGCUAAGAAACAAACUGGGAUUAGAUACCCCACUAUGCUUAGCCGUAAACUUUAACUUACAUUUAUAUCGCCUGGGAACUACGAGCAAAGCUUAAAACCCAAAGGACUUGACGGUACCCCACAUCCACCUAGAGGAGCCUGUCCUAUAAUCGAUAAUCCCCGCUUAACCUCACCCCCUCUAGCCUAUCAGCCUGUAUACCUCCGUCGUCAGCUUACCACGUGAGCGCAUCUUAGUGAGCCUAAUGUCCACACGCCAAAACGUCAGGUCAAGGUGCAGCACAUGAGGGGGAAAGAGAUGGGCUACACUCUCUAACCUAGAAUAUACGAAUAACUACCCAUGAAAACUAGUUUAAAGGCGGAUUUAGAAGUAAAAAGAAACCAUAGUGUUCUUUUUAACCUGGCACUGGGGUGUGUACACACCGCCCGUCACCCUCUUCAAAGCCCAAUAUAAGUUCUUAACCAACCCCCUGCUAAAUAGAAGAGGCAAGUCGUAACAUGGUAAGUAUACCGGAAGGUGUGCUUGGAAA